rnacentral:lncRNA from 1 species
CGGUAUUUCCGCAAAAGUUGCAAUAUUUUAUGCACCAUUUCACGUGAGAUCGCACGUGGAGGGCUAUUCGCGCUAUUACACGUACUGGGAGGGACUUAGUAUUAUAUACUACAGUUUGGGGGGCUAACUCGCGAAGUUGCACCAUGAUAUAUAUGUAUUUUAGGGUUUCUUCCAUCUAACCCUAACCCUAGCUAGCCCCCAGCUACGCUAGUCGCCCCUGCCACCUUCACCUUGCUCCCUUUCCCUAGCCGCAGACCCCCGGCCGCCGCCGGUUGAGCCCCUGUCGCCGCCGAGCCAC